rnacentral:rRNA from 1 species
GGGUUGUGAGGUUAAGCGACUAAGCGUACACGGUGGAUGCCCUGGCAGUCAGAGGCGAUGAAGGACGUGCUAAUCUGCGAUAAGCGCCGGUAAGGUGAUAUGAACCGUUAUAACCGGCGAUUUCCGAAUGGGGAAACCCAGUGUGAUUCGUCACACUAUCAUUAACUGAAUCCAUAGGUUAAUGAGGCGAACCGGGGGAACUGAAACAUCUAAGUACCCCGAGGAAAAGAAAUCAACCGAGAUUCCCCCAGUAGCGGCGAGCGAACGGGGAGGAGCCCAGAGCCUGAAUCAGCAUGUGUGUUAGUGGAAGCGUCUGGAAAGGCGCGCGAUACAGGGUGACAGCCCCGUACACAAAAGCGCAUGUGCUGUGAGCUCGAUGAGUAGGGCGGGACACGUGGUAUCCUGUCUGAAUAUGGGGGGACCAUCCUCCAAGGCUAAAUACUCCUGACUGACCGAUAGUGAACCAGUACCGUGAGGGAAAGGCGAAAAGAACCCCGGCGAGGGGAGUGAAAAAGAACCUGAAACCGUGUACGUACAAGCAGUGGGAGCACCCUUCGGGGUGUGACUGCGUACCUUUUGUAUAAUGGGUCAGCGACUUAUAUUCUGUAGCAAGGUUAACCGUAUAGGGGAGCCGGAGGGAAACCGAGUCUUAACCGGGCGUUAAGUUGCAGGGUAUAGACCCGAAACCCGGUGAUCUAGCCAUGGGCAGGUUGAAGGUUGGGUAACACUAACUGGAGGACCGAACCGACUAAUGUUGAAAAAUUAGCGGAUGACCUGUGGCUGGGGGUGAAAGGCCAAUCAAACCGGGAGAUAGCUGGUUCUCCCCGAAAGCUAUUUAGGUAGCGCCUCGUGAAUUCAUCUCCGGGGGUAGAGCACUGUUUCGGCUAGGGGGCCAUCCCGGCUUACCAACCCGAUGCAAACUGCGAAUACCGGAGAAUGUUAUCACGGGAGACACACGGCGGGUGCUAACGUCCGUCGUGAAGAGGGAAACAACCCAGACCGCCAGCUAAGGUCCCAAAGUCAUGGUUAAGUGGGAAACGAUGUGGGAAGGCCCAGACAGCCAGGAUGUUGGCUUAGAAGCAGCCAUCAUUUAAAGAAAGCGUAAUAGCUCACUGGUCGAGUCGGCCUGCGCGGAAGAUGUAACGGGGCUAAACCAUGCACCGAAGCUGCGGCAGCGAACGUAUCACCCAAGACAACUUUACGGAGUUGACGAUUGACGGAGCGAAGCGACGUCAAAGCGUUCAUUAAAGUCGAGUUGGCUUAGGGAUACGUUCGUUGGGUAGGGGAGCGUUCUGUAAGCCUGCGAAGGUGACCUGUGAGGGUUGCUGGAGGUAUCAGAAGUGCGAAUGCUGACAUAAGUAACGAUAAAGCGGGUGAAAAGCCCGCUCGCCGGAAGACCAAGGGUUCCUGUCCAACGUUAAUCGGGGCAGGGUGAGUCGACCCCUAAGGCGAGGCCGAAAGGCGUAGUCGAUGGGAAACGGGUUAAUAUUCCCGUACUUGGUGUUACUGCGAAGGGGGGACGGAGAAGGCUAUGUUGGCCGGGCGACGGUUGUCCCGGUUUAAGCGUGUAGGUGUGUGUUCCAGGUAAAUCCGGUUCACUUUAACACUGAGGCGUGACGACGAGGCACUACGGUGCUGAAGCAACAAAUGCCCUGCUUCCAGGAAAAGCCUCUAAGCAUCAGGUAACAUCAAAUCGUACCCCAAACCGACACAGGUGGUCAGGUAGAGAAUACCAAGGCGCUUGAGAGAACUCGGGUGAAGGAACUAGGCAAAAUGGUGCCGUAACUUCGGGAGAAGGCACGCUGACACGUAGGUGAAGUGAUUUACUCACGGAGCUGAAGUCAGUCGAAGAUACCAGCUGGCUGCAACUGUUUAUUAAAAACACAGCACUGUGCAAACACGAAAGUGGACGUAUACGGUGUGACGCCUGCCCGGUGCCGGAAGGUUAAUUGAUGGGGUCAGCGCAAGCGAAGCUCCUGAUCGAAGCCCCGGUAAACGGCGGCCGUAACUAUAACGGUCCUAAGGUAGCGAAAUUCCUUGUCGGGUAAGUUCCGACCUGCACGAAUGGCGUAAUGAUGGCCAGGCUGUCUCCACCCGAGACUCAGUGAAAUUGAACUCGCUGUGAAGAUGCAGUGUACCCGCGGCAAGACGGAAAGACCCCGUGAACCUUUACUAUAGCUUGACACUGAACAUUGAGCCUUGAUGUGUAGGAUAGGUGGGAGGCUUUGAAGUGUGGACGCCAGUCUGCAUGGAGCCGACCUUGAAAUACCACCCUUUAAUGUUUGAUGUUCUAACGUGGACCCGUAAUCCGGGUUGCGGACAGUGUCUGGUGGGUAGUUUGACUGGGGCGGUCUCCUCCUAAAGAGUAACGGAGGAGCACGAAGGUUGGCUAAUCCUGGUCGGACAUCAGGAGGUUAGUGCAAUGGCAUAAGCCAGCUUGACUGCGAGCGUGACGGCGCGAGCAGGUGCGAAAGCAGGUCAUAGUGAUCCGGUGGUUCUGAAUGGAAGGGCCAUCGCUCAACGGAUAAAAGGUACUCCGGGGAUAACAGGCUGAUACCGCCCAAGAGUUCAUAUCGACGGCGGUGUUUGGCACCUCGAUGUCGGCUCAUCACAUCCUGGGGCUGAAGUAGGUCCCAAGGGUAUGGCUGUUCGCCAUUUAAAGUGGUACGCGAGCUGGGUUUAGAACGUCGUGAGACAGUUCGGUCCCUAUCUGCCGUGGGCGCUGGAGAACUGAGGGGGGCUGCUCCUAGUACGAGAGGACCGGAGUGGACGCAUCACUGGUGUUCGGGUUGUCAUGCCAAUGGCACUGCCCGGUAGCUAAAUGCGGAAGAGAUAAGUGCUGAAAGCAUCUAAGCACGAAACUUGCCCCGAGAUGAGUUCUCCCUGAGACUUUAGGUCUCCUGAAGGAACGUUGAAGACGACGACGUUGAUAGGCCGGGUGUGUAAGCGCAGCGAUGCGUUGAGCUAACCGGUACUAAUGAACCGUGAGGCUUAACCUUACAACGCCGAAG